rnacentral:rRNA from 1 species
AAUUAGUUUUUUAAUUGAGAAAUAGAAUGAAUGGUAUCACUAAGAUAUCUUUUUUAGGACAUAUUUUGAAAUUUUAGUUUAAGUGAAAAUACUUAAGAACUUUUUUUAGACGAGAAGACCCUAUGAAGCUGGUAGAUAUUAAAUAUAAUUAUUUAUCUUAGUAAAAAUCUAUUUUUUGGGGUAAAAAUUAAAAUUAUUAUUUAAAUAUAUAUAUAUAAAAUGAGCCUCUUGGAAUAAUAAAGAAGCUCCUCUAGGGAUAACAGCAUUAUACCUAUAAGAGUUCUUAUCAGAAUAGGUGU